GUAAUCUUCUCUUGUUGGCCUUCGCAGCUCUUCUUUAGGGGCGGCAAGCAUGAUGGAAUCACCUCCCCCGCACCUAGCCCAAUGCGUGGCACAUAGAAGGAAGUUAAUAGACGUUUGGUGAAUAAAACUGCUGUUCAUCAAGGCAGUAAGCAACCACAAAGAUCCAGGAGGCCCCGACUCUGCAUAUGGAAAAUGGAACACAGUAUAAAUAAGAUAAAUGGAUUAGGUCAGCUGACUGCAACUGUAGCCGCGGCCAACCCACAGGCACAAUGUGCAUGAACUACAGGGAAGGUUUGUCAAUCAGGCAAUUUAUUCCCACCCUAGAAGUGGAAAAGCAGGAUGUGCACGCACGCUCGUAGACUCACU
rnacentral:lncRNA from 1 species